rnacentral:rRNA from 1 species
GAUGAACGCUGGCGGCGUGCUUAAUACAUGCAAGUCGAGCAAAUGGAUUAAGAGCUUGCUCUUAUGAAGUUAGCGGCGGACGGGUGAGUGACACGUGGGUAACCUGCCCAUAAGACUGGGAUAACUCCGGGAAACCGGGGCUAAUACCGGAUAACAUUUUGAACCGCAUGGUUCGAAAUUGAAAGGCGGCUUCGGCUGUCACUUAUGGAUGGACCCGCGUCGCAUUAGCUAGUUGGUGAGGUAACGGCGCACCAAGGCAACGAUGCGUAGCCGCCCUGAGAGGGGGAUCGGCCACACUGGGACUGAGACACGGCCCAGACUCCGACGGGAGGCAGCAGUAGGGAAUCUUCCGCAAUGGACGAAAGUCUGACGGAGCAACGCCGCGUGAGUGAUGAAGGCUUUCGGGUCGUAAAACUCUGUUGUUAGGGAAGAACAAGUGCUAGUUGAAUAAGCUGGCACCGUGACGGUACCUAACCAGAAAGCCACGGCUAACUACGUGCCAGCCGCCGCCGUAA